rnacentral:rRNA from 1 species
AACACAAUGCCGAGAUCGAGCGGAUGAAGGGAGCUAUGCUCCUGGAUUCAGCGGCGGACGGGUGAGUAAUGCCUAGGAAUCUGCCUGGUAGUGGGGGAUAACGUCCGGAAACGGGCGCUAAUACCGCAUACGUCCUGAGGGAGAAAGUGGGGGAUCUUCGGACCUCACGCUAUCAGAUGAGCCUAGGUCGGAUUAGCUAGUUGGUGGGGUAAAGGCCUACCAAGGCGACGAUCCGUAACUGGUCUGAGAGGAUGAUCAGUCACACUGGAACUGAGACACGGUCCAGACUCCUACGGGAGGCAGCAGUGGGGAAUAUUGGACAAUGGGCGAAAGCCUGAUCCAGCCAUGCCGCGUGUGUGAAGAAGGUCUUCGGAUUGUAAAGCACUUUAAGUUGGGAGGAAGGGCAGUAAGUUAAUACCUUGCUGUUUUGACGUUACCAACAGAAUAAGCACCGGCUAACUUCGUGCCAGCAGCCGCGGUAAUACGAAGGGUGCAAGCGUUAAUCGGAAUUACUGGGCGUAAAGCGCGCGUAGGUGGUUCAGCAAGUUGGAUGUGAAAUCCCCGGGCUCAACCUGGGAACUGCAUCCAAAACUACUGAGCUAGAGUACGGUAGAGGGUGGUGGAAUUUCCUGUGUAUCGGUGAAAUGCGU